rnacentral:rRNA from 1 species
CCUACGGGAGGCAGCAGUGAGGAAUAUUGGUCAAUGGGCGGAAGCCUGAACCAGCCAAGUAGCGUGCGGGAUGAAGGCCCUACGGGUCGUAAACCGCUUUUGCACGGGGAUAACACCCUCCACUUGUGGAGGUCUGCAGGUACCGUGCGAAAAAGCAUCGGCUAACUCCGUGCCAUCAGCCGCGGUAAUACGGAGGAAGCGAGCGUUAUCCGGAUUUAUUGGGUUUAAAGGGGGCGCGGGCGGAGGUGCAAGUCAGAGGUCAAAUUGCGGGGCUCAACCCCGUACUGCCGUUGAAACUGCAUCCCUUGAGUGCGCGAGAAGUAUGCGGAAUGCGUGGUGUAGCGGUGAAAUGCAUAGAUAUCACGCAGAACUCCGAUUGCGAAGGCAGCAUACCGGCGCGCAACUGACGCUCAUGCACGAAAGCGUGGGUAUCGAACAGGAUUAGAUACCCGAGUAGUC